UUGCACGCUGGCGGCAUGCCUUACACAUGCAAGUCGCACGACAGCACGGGUGCUUGCACCUGGUGGCGAGUGGCGAACGGGUGAGUAAUACAUCGGAACAUGUCCUGUAGUGGGGGAUAGCCCGGCGAAAGCCGGAUUAAUACCGCAUACGAUCUACGGAUGAAAGCGGGGGACCUUCGGGCCUCGCGCUAUAGGGUUGGCCGAUGGCUGAUUAGCUAGUUGGUGGGGUAAAGGCCUACCAAGGCGACGAUCAGUAGCUGGUCUGAGAGGACGACCAGCCACACUGGGACUGAGACACGGCCCAGACUCCUACGGGAGGCAGCAGUGGGGAAUUUUGGACAAUGGGCGAAAGCCUGAUCCAGCAAUGCCGCGUGUGUGAAGAAGGCCUUCGGGUUGUAAAGCACUUUUGUCCGGAAAGAAAUCCUUGGCCCUAAUACGGUCGGGGGAUGACGGUACCGGAAGAAUAAGCACCGGCUAACUACGUG
rnacentral:rRNA from 1 species